GAACCCUAGCCCCCCAGUCCCCAGCCGCCACACCCCUGACCCCUCCCUCCUCCUCACUCCCUCGCCACACUAUCGCACCAUCUCCCUCCUCUCUCCUCCCUCAUCACUAGCCACCGCAACAAGGGAUUUGCCACCCCUCCUCCAUCAUCACCAGUCGCAGCACCAGGAGAUUUGUCACCGCCGAGAUCCAGCGCCUUGUAAGGUCCUCGGGUCAGCCUUGUCGUGCCCACCACUCUGUCGACCAGAUCUGUGCCCUUGACUCCCUCUUCUCUCGCGUCGCGCGGUGCCUUCUGCUCCACCAUGCCGCAGUUAAGUUGUGGAUGACGGGGCCAUGGACCGGUCCUUAAGGAGAGAAGGAAGAUGAGGGUGAGAGAAGGAAGGAGAGGAGGGAUAAGGAGAGAGGAAAGAGGAGAGUUUGCCACAAAAAUCUUGAUGAGUGUACAGAUCUGAGGAUGAAGAGAAUAAGAAGAAUUUAGCUGAAGGGGUGAAGAAAAUCAAGGUACAGAGUUUAUGGUUACUGAAAUUGGAUAACAGAGAGUCACAGCUUCAGUUUUCAAUUACAGUAGUUGAUGUGUUAUGUUUGCUGCAAUUUGUCAUGUGUGUUUGAGAGAGAAGGAUGAAAAAGAGGGGACUGGAAGCUUGAUCAUUGCCAGGAUCUGGAUUCAGAGAGAGGGGUGAAAAAGAAGGGACAUGGAUUCAGAGAGGGAUGAAAAGAGGGGACUGAAAGAUCUUGCAUUGCGUUUCUUCAUCUACCAAUACGGUUUCGUGUACCAUUUGAACAUAACCAAGUAGUAUAACCAAAGUGUGCUGGUUUAUGGCUUCUCAUGGGAUGUGAUUCUGGUCAUGCUGCUUGUUAUGAAGGAUGAGGUGAGCUUCAUGAAGAUGAGUAGGCGAGUGGCUGAUAUAGAGAGCUCCUCGAAUGGGGAAGUAGCAUUGUUGGAGGAACUCGAAGAUGAGAAGGUUCCGAAGUCAUGCCUUUGCCUUACUGUUGUGCUGAUACUGGAUGCAACAUUGUGGACCUCUGGUUCGAGCAUGGCCAGCAUGGCCACGGAUUGUAGGGGAGGAAUGUAUUGCCUAAUGAGUUGUAUGCUUUCUUUAGAUCCUCUGUGCUCCCUAUCACAUCUGGCUUGGCCACCUACAAAUUCUUGGGUCCACGUGAGCUCUCUUUCCACUCUGCAAGUUUUGCUUGCUCUUUCUGGGCUAUUUGUGAAGGCUAGCCCCUUUCCUAAGUCUCUUAUUUUAUUAUGGAUCAUGGAAGUGGGGAGUGUAACUCACAUUUUUAUAACACUGAUCCUUUAGGUAUAUAUACUUUGGUUUUCUGAAAGUGGAUUGCAUUUGCUUCCUGGUCACAUUGAAACAAGGGUGGAAACAACCAUCGUCCGCCGACCAUUCUUCCUCCCUCAGGUUCCUGAUCUGAAGCGGAGGAACACGAGGUCGCAUCCAUUAAGUGUCAGAAAGGGGUUGCAAUGAUUUUCUUCAGUCUGACAAUCAUAUAGUAAUUAGACGGUGUAGUACUAUGGCGGUGGUAUACUGAUUUGGUGUAAGAAUCACUAACAUGACUUUGCGUGUACAAAUCUUACAUGUUAAUGAUAUUAAGAAUUAGUAGCAUGUUUUUUUGUUUACUGCUGGAUUUGCUAACAAGAUGUCUCUUGUGUUGUUGAUUGAUAUGCAGACUUGCUGUUUUUUGUUCAGUUGAAGGGCCCUCCAGGCUUAAGAUCUUUCGAGGAUAAUUGUGUCAUUGAAUCUGAAGGUAUAUGAUUGGUUUCUCAACUCAUGUAUCGAUAAGAAAUUUUUUCUUCCUCAAUAUAUUGUUACUUACCUGACUUGUCGUACAUUUGUGAGGUUUCUGAGGAAGUUCACUUCUUGCACGCGGCGUAUAACUUGAGUUGCCUACAAAUGAUUUUGCCAGUUCGAUGAAAACUUAGAAUAACCAAGGGAACUUUCUCAGUUUUGUUGUUCUUGCUCUUCUCAGAUUUUAGGUUGGGGGUAUUAACAUAUAUGCCACACACUAAGUUUAGAUCUUAGUGUGAGAUUAAAUUGGCAUAAAUCCUUGUGCCAUGUUGAAAAAUUAGAAUUACAAAAAAGAAAGGAAAUAUUAAAGAAGGGAUAUGGUUGAUUAGGUUGUUGUGGUGUUUCUUUGUUAAUAAUUACAUGCUAACUUGCUGGUUUAAUUUAGGUGUGUGGAAUAUAGGAAAUACAAGGAGAGAUAUUUCAGUUGCAAUCCAUCUUUUACUCUAUAGUUGUGCGCCGCCAUGGUGUCAAUUUUGAACUUGCAAACUGAACUGUAAAAUGUUUUAAUGCCUUGGUGCAUGAAGUUUUCUUUGCCUGCUCUGACUACUUCAUUUAUGUUUAUUUACCGGGUUAUGCGAUCUCCUAUGUUGCUGCAUGUUGAUCUUCUGUUUUGUUGUAACUCUAUUUUGCUGCUCGAGGUUUGCUUCCUUUCUUUCUAGCUACAUGUGUAUUCUUUGAUUUCUAGCUACAUGCAUGUUUUCCUUUUGCUCAUGGAAUAGUUUACUUAUUUUGAACAGUAGCAUCUCUGUUAUUACAGACAUACUAGGCCCGUGCUUCUUCACGGUGGCCAUCUCUUUUUUUGUGAGAAGUGUGCCUUAUGGCUUAUUCUUGUGUAUUCAGUUCUUCUGCCAUUCAACAGUCAAUACCAAGCCAUUUUUAUGGAGCCGAUACUGUUCUGGUGGUCAGUGAUAACUGAAAAUCUCUUUCAUUAUCAUUGCUUGCUAUGUAGCCAUUUUUCUUCUUUUCGCUUUGCUUCGAUGUGUUUGUUUCUAUGGAGUCUCUGCUACCUUACAACAUCAAGAUGAAAACUAAGCAUCUGAGUUUCUUGGAGCAGCCCUA